CUCACUCCCCAUCUAAUUCUCUUGUCCUACCAAUAUUCUUUUUCCUACCCUUACCCAUCAUCACAAUUAAGUUAAAGUCAAAUUAAAGAUUCAAAAGAUCUUAUCUAAUUUCAAAUUAAAAUCCCUUACUUUCAAAUUCAAAUAUUCCAAAUUCUAGCUAUACCUAUAUGAUUCACCACCUAUUUCUACACCAAUGGGAUAAUAAUCCCAUCAGAAUUCAAUUUCCCUCGCCUUACUCAUUGUUCCAUUUGUAAUUAAAAUUAUAAUUUAAAAGCGAAUUCAUUUGAAAUUCACUGUUUAACCUCAAAUUCCACUUCCAUUUCUUUCCAGUUCUAGGUGGAAAAUUACAUAGCUGAGGACGUCAGUUUCGGUCCAAAAAUUCUAACGAAAUGUCAAAUCAACAGACGAAGAAAGAGAAUAAUCCAAUCCAUCACAACUAACAGUUAAACACUCAAAUUCAAAAGGAAUGACGUCCACCGCCUUUGUCGGCGUGGUCUUUGCGAGGUUCACGAGCACCGUGUGAUACCCAGCUGUGGUUGCCACUUGAUUAUGAUAUUUCAAAUUUUACGCGUAAUUUUAUCAAUUCUUUAUCCAUGAUCCUAAUGAAUGGGUUGAAUACAAUACGUCGCUUUCGCCAGCAUUUAAAUUGUCAAUGGAAAUUUCAACGUUCUCAUCACAUGGUUGCCACAGGGUUUAUAUCAAUAGCAGCCAAUGUUAUGGCAACCUGUUCAAUUUACGUUCAAGUUCGAUUAAUUCAAUGAUGUUAAAAACCAUGAAGUGAAUAGUAAAUAAAAAAUUUCUUUUGUA